UACGUAGGUGACGAGCGUUAUCCGGAAUUAUUGGGCGUAAAGCGCCCGCAGGCGGCUGUUCAAGUCUGACGUGAAAUCGCUCGGCUUAACUGGGCGGGGUCGUUGGAAACUGAAUAGCUUGAGGCAAGGAGAGGGGCGUGGAAUUCCCGGUGUAGUGGUGGAAUGCGUAGAUAUCGGGAGGAACAUCAGUGGCGCAAGCGGCGCCCUGGCCUUAGCCUGACGCUCAGGGGCGAAAGCGUGGGGAGCGAACAGG
rnacentral:rRNA from 1 species